CCUACGGGAGGCAGCAGUGGGGAAUAUUGGGCAAUGGGCGCAAGCCUGACCCAGCAACGCCGCGUGAAGGAUGAAGGCUCUCGGGUUUUUAACUUCUUUUUUUAGGGACGAAACCAGUGACGGUACCUGCUUAUUAAGCCACGGCUAACUACGUGCCAGCAGCCGCGGUAAUACGGAGGUCGCAAGCGUUAUCCGGAUUUACUGGGUGUAAAGGGUGUGUAGGCGGGCUUGCAAGUCAGUUGUGAACUUCCAGGGCUCAACCCUGGAACUGCAGUUGACACUGUAGGUCUUGAGUGCUGGGGAGGCAAUCGGAAUUCGGGGUGUAGCGGUGAAAUGCGUAGAUAUACGGAAGAACACCAGUUGCGAAGGCGGAUUGCUGGACAGUAACUGACGCUGAGGCGCGAAAGCGUGGGGAGCGAACAGGAUUAGAUACCCGUGUAGUC
rnacentral:rRNA from 1 species